UUUUUAUUGAAUGUUACUGUUGCGUAUUGCGCUUUUAUUGAAAGUUAACGUUAAUUAGGUACACAAAAUUAACGUUUCAAUAAAAGUGUAACACGUGACGAUCAACGUUG
rfam:Glycine soja cultivar W05 scaffold330_27, whole genome shotgun sequence.